UCCCAAAUUGAGGAACCCUAACCCUAGCUUCCCUUUGCCUCAGUUGCACCCCACCCUUCUUCAGCGUAACACACUCACCCCUCAUCUCAGCGCCGUUUCCCCCUUUCACUCACUUAGCUUCAUCCCUCAACCCUAGCAUUUUCUCCCAACGGUACAGAGAAGAGAGAAAGAAAUGAGAUUCGGAGAGUGAGAGAGAGCUCGUGUCCGAAAGUGAAGAGGAGAUGUAGCUCGCGUUGCUGCCUCCAUCACGACAAAACCGUCGCUCCUUGCUGCGCCGUCACCACCGUUCCAUGGAGCUACCGCCGUCAUCCACGCGUUGCUGAGGGAAGCCCGAGACAGAGAUGAGGGAGAUGUUGUUGCCACGCAGCCGUCGUCCCGUCGCCAAUGCCGUUGUGGCGGAAAACCAGAGCCGAGGCAAGGUGCAGCGCCGAGAGGGAGAGAGAGGCCGCCGUCGCGUCCUAUUCACCGUCGCCAUCGAUCUGUCUUGGAGCCACUGUGUCAUGUGUCGCCGACGAAGAAUAGAGAGAAAGACGCACGCAGAAGAGAAGCCCGCGACCAGCCUUGUCGUCAUCAGCACCGCGGGUUGCCAUCGCCAUCCUCGCGAGCUGCCACCGCACCGCUGUUGUGGCACUCUGCUGCCGCCGCGUCUCACCAAGCCGCCGCUGGAGGAGGAAGGCUCGCCAGUUCUGCUUCUGCUUCUUGUUACUAAAAUCUGAUAAGAAUGCCACUGCCCUGCUGGAGUUGCUGUUGAACCAUUAGAACCACUACUAUUUUGCUGCCACCGAGGUCGUUGGUGCUUGUCAAGAGUGCUAUUCUGGUUCUGAAUUGAUUAGUUCAUGCCACUGCUGCUGCUGAGAAGUGAUCAGAAAUGCCGCUGCUGUUAGUUCAGUUCAAGGUUGUUGUUACCACUGCGAAUUAAAAAUAAAAGAAGGCUUUGUUGCGUUUGAUUAUCGAAUUUCGGCUAGUCGAGUGACACAGGUUUGAAGACGCAACCUGAAGCUGCGAACGAUUAGUAGGCUUUCUUUAUGGUUUUAAUUGCUUUCAUAGAGUCCCCUCGCCGAUUGUCCCUUGAGAUUUUAUUUCAUAUAGAGGGGUAGGUUUGGUAUAUUGUAUAUGAGUUUUAUUUGGUUUCUUUUGUAUAAGAAUUAUUAUCAAUAAUAUUUAUGUGAUUACUAUUGUUU